rnacentral:lncRNA from 1 species
GCUUCUCUUUUUCUACCAAGAUUGAUAGAUUUCAUCUAGAUGCAUCCUACUCCAAACAGCAAAUCUGAACCUACUGAAGCCAACAUAUACAGCAAGGAUCCGAAUGGCUAGGGACCAAAAGAAUAUGCAGUCAAAUCUAGUAGCCUUGCUGUGAAUAGCCAAUAGCACCACAGGUCAAAAGACCACUCAUACCACUACAGCAUCGAGAAGAUCAUUGACGAGUGAGUAGAUAUCUAUGUGGUUCUCGUGUUGGUCAUGCUCACUGUAAGUUGUUCUCUAACAAUCACCCACACCUUCACCCUAGUGUCUCUACACCGC